AUACGUAGGUGGCAAGCGUUGUCCGGAAUUACUGGGUGUAAAGGGAGCGCAGGCGGGCGUGCAAGUCAGCUGUGAAAUCCAUGGGCUUAACCCGUGGGCUGCAGUUGAAACUGUAUGUCUUGAGUGAAGUAGAGGUAGGCGGAAUUCCGAGUGUAGCGGUAAAAUGCGUAGAUAUUCGGAGGAACACCGGUGGCGAAGGCGGCCUACUGGGCUUUAACUGACGCUGAGGCUCGAAAGUGUGGGGAGCAAACAGGAUUAGAUACCCUGGUAGUCCACACUGUAAACGAUGAUUGCUAGGUGUGGGGGGUCUGACCCCUUCCGUGCCGCAGUAAACACAGUAAGCAUUCCGCCUGGGGAGUACGGUCGCAAGAUUAAAACUCAAAGGAAUUGACGGGG
rnacentral:rRNA from 1 species